CAUGCAAGUCGAACGGUGAAGCCAAGCUUGCUUGGUGGAUCAGUGGCGAACGGGUGAGUAACACGUGAGCAACCUGCCCUGGACUCUGGGAUAAGCGCUGGAAACGGCGUCUAAUACUGGAUAUGAGCCUCUUCCGCAUGGUGGGGGUUGGAAAGAUUUUUUGGUCUGGGAUGGGCUCGCGGCCUAUCAGCUUGUUGGUGAGGUAAUGGCUCACCAAGGCGUCGACGGGUAGCCGGCCUGAGAGGGUGACCGGCCACACUGGGACUGAGACACGGCCCAGACUCCUACGGGAGGCAGCAGUGGGGAAUAUUGCACAAUGGGCGGAAGCCUGAUGCAGCAACGCCGCGUGAGGGAUGACGGCCUUCGGGUUGUAAACCUCUUUUAGCAGGGAAGAAGCGAAAGUGACGGUACCUGCAGAAAAAGCGCCGGCUAACUACGUGCCAGCAGCCGCGGUAAUACGUAGGGCGCAAGCGUUAUCCGGAAUUAUUGGGCGUAAAGAGCUCGUAGGCGGUUUGUCGCGUCUGCUGUGAAAUCCCGAGGCUCAACCUCGGGCCUGCAGUGGGUACGGGCAGACUAGAGUGCGGUAGGGGAGAUUGGAAUUCCUGGUGUAGCGGUGGAAUGCGCAGAUAUCAGGAGGAACACCGAUGGCGAAGGCAGAUCUCUGGGCCGUAACUGACGCUGAGGAGCGAAAGGGUGGGGAGCAAACAGGCUUAGAUACCCUGGUAGUCCACCCCGUAAACGUUGGGAACUAGUUGUGG
rnacentral:rRNA from 1 species